AAAUCAAUCGUAGGGCAUCACUCUAUUGGCAGGUGAUAUGGUGAUAUUUCAUUUGAGUUAGAAGCUCUAUAAAUUCACCUGCCAAAGGAGAGCUGCCCUGUGAGUGUUUA
rnacentral:pre_miRNA from 1 species